GACUCUGCCCUGGGCGCGCCCUGCGGGGCGGAGCCACCAAGCCCGGCCUAGCCGACCCGGCCCGAGGUCCAGAGCAGAGGGGAGGAGCGGCGCCCGGACCCUGCGCUCGCUGAGCGCCCUCCAAGCUGGACUUCACAAUGACGGCAGUAACAGUGACCACGACAGUUCCCCUGAAGGGGAAGAUAGAAGAUAAUUCUGCCUCGUAUGAGUCCACAUCAGCUCACAUUAUUGAAGAAACUGAAUAUGUGAAAAAGAUUCGAACUACUCUGGAAAAGAUCCGAAAUCAAAUAUUUAAAGAUGAAGUAAGACAUAAUAGUACAAAUCACAAACAAGAUGCAAAGCACUGUCGACACAUCCAAAAUGGCUUUGACUCUGAACUGGAUCCCUCUUGUUGCAGUUUGGAUCUGCUCAUGGAAAGGAUAAAAGGAAAAGACCUACAGCUCUUAGAAAUGAACAAAGAGAAUGAAGUGUUGAAAAUCAAGCUCGAAGCCUCCAGAGAAGCAGGAGCAGCGGCUCUGAGAAAUGUGGCCCAGAGAUUAUUUGAAAACUAUCAAACACAGUCUAAAGAAGUUAGACAGAAGCAUGAGGACAGUAGACACUUACUCCAGGUUAACGCACUUGAAAAAGAACAGAAAUUGAAGCAACAUGUUGAAAAUCUGAAUCAAAUUGCUGAAAAGCUUGAAGAAAAACAUAAUCAAAUCACAGAACUGGAGAAUCUUGUACAGAGAAUGGAAAAGGAAAAGAGAACACUGCUAGAAAAAAAACUGUCUUUGGAAAACAAGCUGCUGCAUCUCAAAUCCAAGGCUACAUAUGCUAAAAGUUGCCAGGAUCUUCAAAAGGAGAUUUCCCUCCUCCAGGAGCAGAUCUCUCAUCUGCAGUUUGUGAUUCACUCCCAGCAUCAGAACCUGCGCAGUGUCAUCCAGGAGAUGGAAGGCUUAAAAAAUAAUUUAAAAGAACAAGAUAAAAGAAUUGAAGAUCUGAAAGAAAAAGUUAACAUACUGGAAGCCCAGAACAAAGAACUAAAAACCAAGGUGGCACUUUGGUCUGAAACUCCUAGGCCGAAGGUAUCCAAAGCUGUCUCUACAAGGUAAGGCCUCUCUUCCCCCACCGCCAUCUGCCUUCACGACUCCUGUUGAACACGGUUGACAUUUAUACCAUUUGAGAAAUUAUCCAAUCAAUUAAUACUUACGUAAUCACGUGUUUACUGUCUGUCUCCCGGUUCUUUGAGAGUGGGAACUCUAUUAAUCUUGUUAACCACUGAAUCCUUGAAGCCUGAUAUAUGAAUACUUACUUUAUGAGUAAAUGAAUGAACAAAUUUAGAUAUCUUUUUUCCUCUUCUUUGGCAUAAAACAAGCCCAGUCUUGGCUUCAAUACUUAAUCCAAACAGUACAGAUUAUCUCCUCCACCAUCCUUGUUCCUCCAUUGCUUAUAUUUUCUGUGUCACCGAUGGGCAUUUUAAUCAUAAAUCAUGUGUAUUUAUUUAAGUUUCCAUGUCUGUCUCUCAAGUCGAUUGUAAAUGUCAAGAGGGCAGGAAUAGUUCCUUGUUUUUCACUUUAUUUCCUGCAUUGUUAAGGACAAGUUUCUUCAACAACUACCUAAUAACAAAUGAAUGAAGCAAUGAUAAUGACCCCUAAAGCAAUGGAAAUAAUAGUUGAAACCAUCACAUCACUUUCUAAUGUUGACAGAAUCAGAAGUGAGAGUGAAUUGAAGACUGAAGGCAUGACCCCAUAUUUGAUGUUGGUUAGGCUACGGAAAUGAGCCGCCUGGCUGAAGAUCUGAAUGAGAAAGAUCACUACCUGCGUCUUAUUUACUCCUUGAAACACAGUCUAAAUUUACAUAUUAAAACUGCUCAAUGCCAGUAUUUAAUGGAAUUUAUUGUAUUAUAUUUAAUGUAUACAUCAAUAACUUUGCAGGAAGAUGACAUUUCAGAAAAUCAAACAAAUAUAUAUGCAAAGAAAGGAACUCUUUCUUCAAAACUUACUAAUGGAUGAAGAAACCAGAUGCUUUCCCAUGAUGGAAGAUGAAUUUUGCUUUAAACUUUAAAAAAAAAAAACUGAUUUUUUUUUUUUUUUGGCAGAUUUUUGCUGAAGGGACUGGUUAAGGUUGUCAACUUUGACCUUUUGAUAGUGGUUUUUAUGUACAAUCAUCCCUAGGUAUCCACAGGAGAUUGGUUCCAAGAGCCCCCUCGGGUACCAAAACCCAUUCGGAUGCUCAGUCCCAUAUAUAAAAUGGCAGAGUGCAGUUGGCCCUCUGUAUCCAUGGUUUCUGCAUCCAUGGAUUCAGCCAAUCAUUAGUGUGGAACCUGCAGGUACAGAGGGCUGACGGUACAUAAAUGUAAGGAAAAAUAUACAGGCAUGCUUCCUUUUACUGUGCUUCACAGACUCUGUGGUUUUUUUUUACAAAUUGAAGGUUUGUGGCAACCUUGCAUUGUCAGAUGAUGGUUAGCAUAUUUUGGCAAUAAAAUGUUUUUAAAUUAAGGUAUGUAUAUAUAUAUUUUUAGAUAUAAUGCUAUUGCACACUUAACAGGCUACAAUAUAGUGUAAACAUGACUUUUAGAUUCACUGGGAAACCAGAAAUUUCAUGUGACUCGCUUUGUUGUGAUAUUCUCUUUAAAUUGGUGCUCUGGUACUGAACCUGCGAUAUCUGUGUGUGUGUAUGUGUGUGAAUAAAUGAUAUAUUUUGAAGUUGA